AAGCAGGCUAUGGUUGUAGAGUCAAAGAUAAUUCAAUUGAAGAAUGACAUGCAGAUGUUCUUACUAGAAGAAAAGCUCUUGGACAUGGAGACCGUGGAUAUUCUAAGGCAGCAGGCCUUGUUAAAAACACCUUUGUUAUAUCAGUGAUGAAAGAAGGCGUAAGUUCUCAACCAG